CUGCCACAACGGCUUCCUGGCGUGGCAGAGUAUCUCAUAACGGAGCA
rnacentral:ncRNA from 1 species